rnacentral:rRNA from 1 species
GAUGAACGCUGGCUACAGGCUUAACACAUGCAAGUCGAGGGGAAACGACGGGGAAGCUUGCUUCCCCGGGCGUCGACCGGCGCACGGGUGAGUAACGCGUAUCCAACCUGCCUCUGACUGAGGGAUAACCCGUCGAAAGUCGGCCUAAUACCUCAUGGCAUCGUCUGCGGGCAUCCAACGACGAUUAAAGAUUUCAUCGGUCAGGGAUGGGGAUGCGUCUGAUUAGCUAGUUGGCGGGGUAACGGCCCACCAAGGCGACGAUCAGUAGGGGUUCUGAGAGGAAGGUCCCCCACAUUGGAACUGAGACACGGUCCAAACUCCUACGGGAGGCAGCAGUGAGGAAUAUUAGUCAAUGGGCGAGAGCCUGAACCAGCCAAGUAGCGUGCAGGAUGACGGCCCUAUGGGUUGUAAACUGCUUUUAUGCGGGGAUAAAGUGAGGGACGUGUCCUUCAUUGCAGGUACCGCAUGAAUAAGGACCGGCUAAUUCCGU